CACGUAGUUAGCCGGAGCUUCUUCUGUGGGUACCGUCAUCGUCGUCCCCACUGAAAGCGGUUUACAACCCGAGGGCCGUCGUCCCGCACGCGGCGUUGCUGCGUCAGGGUUUCCCCCAUUGCGCAAAAUUCCCCACUGCUGCCUCCCGUAGGAGUCUGGGCCGUAUCUCAGUCCCAAUGUGGCCGGUCGACCUCUCAGUCCGGCUACCCAUCGCGGGCUAGGUGGGCCGUUACCCCGCCUACUACCUAAUGGGCCGCGACCCCCAUCCCCUUGCCGUCUGGGCUUUCCCGGCCGGCCCAUGCGGGCUGGCCGGAGUAUCCGGUAUUAGCCACCGUUUCCAGCGGUUGUCCCGGAGCAAGGGGCAGGUUGGUCACGUGUUACUCACCCGUUCGCCACUCUAUGUCCGCCCGAGGGCGGUUUAAUCGUUCGACUUGCAUGUGUUAAGCACGCCGCCAGCGUUCAUCCUGAGCCAGGAUCAAACUCU
rnacentral:rRNA from 1 species